rnacentral:rRNA from 1 species
CUUGCUCUUAUGAAGUUAGCGGCGGACGGGUGAGUAACACGUGGGUAACCUGCCCAUAAGACUGGGAUAACUCCGGGAAACCGGGGCUAAUACCGGAUAACAUUUUGAACCGCAUGGUUCGAAAUUGAAAGGCGGCUUCGGCUGUCACUUAUGGAUGGACCCGCGUCGCAUUAGCUAGUUGGUGAGGUAACGGCUCACCAAGGCAACGAUGCGUAGCCGACCUGAGAGGGUGAUCGGCCACACUGGGACUGAGACACGGCCCAGACUCCUACGGGAGGCAGCAGUAGGGAAUCUUCCGCAAUGGACGAAAGUCUGACGGAGCAACGCCGCGUGAGUGAUGAAGGCUUUCGGGUCGUAAAACUCUGUUGUUAGGGAAGAACAAGUGCUAGUUGAAUAAGCUGGCACCUUGACGGUACCUAACCAGAAAGCCACGGCUAACUACGUGCCAGCAGCCGCGGUAAUACGUAGGUGGCAAGCGUUAUCCGGAAUUAUUGGGCGUAAAGCGCGCGCAGGUGGUUUCUUAAGUCUGAUGUGAAAGCCCACGGCUCAACCGUGGAGGGUCAUUGGAAACUGGGAGACUUGAGUGCAGAAGAGGAAAGUGGAAUUCCAUGUGUAGCGGUGAAAUGCGUAGAGAUAUGGAGGAACACCAGUGGCGAAGGCGACUUUCUGGUCUGUAACUGACACUGAGGCGCGAAAGCGUGGGGAGCAAA